AGAAUCAACGCUGGCGGCAUGCCUCAGACAUGCAAGUCGAACGCGAAAGUCCCCUUCGGGGGCAAGUAGAGUGGCGCACGGGUGAGUAACACGUAGGUAAUCUACCUUCGGAUGGGGAAUAACAAUCGGAAACGGUUGCUAAUACCGCAUAAUGCAGCGGCACCUAAUGGUGACAGUUGUUAAAGCGGGGGAUCGAAAGACCUCGCGUCUGAAGAGGAGCCUGCGGCGGAUUAGCUAGUUGGUAAGGUAACGGCUUACCAAGGCGACGAUCCGUA
rnacentral:rRNA from 1 species